GUACGAGUCGUUCAUUUAUCAAAAAAUAAAAGCGGCCAACCUGAGCAGUUCCCCGUUUACAAAAAUAUUCUUUGACCCUGAUAUCAUUCACCUGUCAUGUUUCAAAAACUACCUAAUCUCUUCUUCUUAAUUAUUCCGAUUCAGCCUAAUAUAGCGACGACAAUAUUUACGUGUAUGGUUUGAAAAAUAAUCGAACCGAGUUGCAGGCUUUACCUAAUAUAAAUCAUACAUACUUCACCCCCGAUCUCUAGUGCAGUGAUCUAUUUUGUCCGGCGCAACUAGACUUCAAUUGACAAACUUGGUCCACUUGCUGAAAAAGCUUAGCACCGCCCAGGUCUAAAUCUAUGUCCAAAGAGUGCAAAUAAUGUUGUCAUCGAAUGCGGGCCGGAAUUUCCUUCCUAGUCACGCAAGAAAGCAUAUCCAAUGUUACGUAUGCGACGGGUGGCCAUUGGAUGCAAACAACCUUGAAGAUCUAAGUAAAGCACUUCUAUAACUACAUGAUCUAGACUCAUUUCUUCAGUAUUCUUCUAAUGCCUCAUCUUAAUUAUCCCGUGCCUUUCAACUGUAUACUCAUCUCAUCACACAGUCGGGACCAAUUAUCCUCCCUGAAUCAGGUCUCCUUGUAAAGCAAUGGUCCUUUUAUAAUGGUGAAAAAGAACUUCUUCACACCAUCCAUACCUUAUGGAAUGCUCUCAUCUCACGUCCUGCAUGACAAUAAUGUUGAACCGAUGAAGCUAUCCGUGUCCCAUGAACAUGACAAACUUGCUUUUUUUUCGAUAGGAACAUGACAAACUUUAGUUGAGCUAAUUAUCAUAACGGUUCAAUGCUUGAAUAUAUCAUAAAAAAACUUAUUGUGAAAUAUAUCUUCUCAUAGGGCAAGUUAUUUUGCUUCGAGAAAUAUUUACGUGUUUCUUCGGAGCAGUUAAGUUCGUGUGCUUUCUGCCAUCUCAACGAGGCAAAUCCAGUUGGGCGUGUGUAUAUUUCAAGUUUCAGAAAUCCCCUACCUAUUAUGAAAACAAAUAGAUCAGUUGAUUGCAACAUGUGAAGUGUGCUUCAGUCGGUUUUACCGUGAAUUGAAGGUACUCCCUCCGUUUUUAAAUAUAAAUCUUUUAGAGUUUUCACUAAGAGGCUACGAACGAAGCAAAAUGAAUGAAUAUAUAUUCUAAAGUAUGUCUAUGUUCAUCCGUAUGUAGUUUUUUUAAUAAAACCUCUAAAGAAUUUGUAUUUAGGAACGGAGGGAGUAAUCGCUCAUGCAACAAGAAUUAAUCCAAAGUUGUGGUAUCACUAAAUCUGACGGAUGUGAUAUGAGUGGCACAUGCUAUCUCGCCCUGAGUACGGCAACAAUAAUUAAGAUGAGAACAUUUUCCAUUGCCACUCACUUCGCCAACCUAGGCUUACGUCCCCUUCAGGGGGCGGCUCGGGCGAAACCUAGCCGCCACCACCCCCGACCCUCCUUUCCUCCUUGCUUCCCCGCCGUCGUCCGAGGAGGCCGGCGAGCGAAGCUUGCCUGGCGGAUGGCGGACGGCGAGCUCUCCCACUAGUAGAAAACAGGGUUUUCGUCCCAGCUCGAUUUAUACAUUAGUCCUGGUUUCAUUACGAACCGGGACCAAUGUUAGCAUUAGUUCCGGUUCGAGCGGCAAGGGCGCCGGUCGGGCAUCAAUUUCGGUUCAAAUGGGACCUUUAGUCCUGGUUCGUGUCUCGAACCGGGACUAAAGAGGUUGGAGGCUUUAGUCCCGGUUCGUGUGUCGAACCGGGACUAAAGGGGUUCUGAAUUUUUGUUUUUUUUGUUUUUAAAUUUGUUUUCUGUUUGUAGUUUCUGUUUUAAAUUGCUUAUUUUUUUGGAUAUUUGAUGUUUUUGAGGGAUUCUUUUUGUCCUAGAUUCAAAAUUUUGGCUAGUUUCUGUUUGUGCCAUUAAUUUUCAAAUAUGAAUGGUUUAAAUUUGAAUUUGUUCAAAUUAGCUUCAAACCAGGAUUGUGAAUAACUUGAGUUUACAAAUAGUUUUAAUUUAAUUAUUUUUGUUCCUCGUCAUGUGUUAGAUUGUUGUCACAAUAAGCCUUAUUUGGUUAUUUUUAGAAUAAUUUAAAUUAGGAUUUUAAUUAAAACAAUAUUGUUUUGCUUAUAUAGUUGUUUUAGUCAUUUAAUUGUUAUUUUUUUGAAUUAUUUUUAGUUAGUUCUUUUUCAGUAGAUUUUAACAUGUUGUAGUAUGGUGCAUAUUGAAUGCACAAAAAGUCUGGAGUUGAAAUAAUUUUUAAAAAAUGCGUUUGUAACAGACGAGUUUUCCUCCCAAACCUUGAUACUUUGAAGAAGAUGGUCCAAUUUGUAAACGAAGUGCAUCCAAUUUUGUCGUAACCCUCUCUGAACUUUGUAUCACAUGCUAUGUGGGUGAAAUGAUGAUACCAUGCCAAGUUUCAACCUUUUCAGAGUUCAUUUGUCGGGCUUUUCAAUUUCAGGAUCAUUAAGCUAAAAAAAUAAUUAAAUGCAUGAAAAAUAGCAAAUGAAGUUAUAAAGGGUUGAAAUUUUAGGAUGUGGUUUUGAAAAUGGUGCAUAUUGAAUGCACAAAAAGUCUCGAGUGGAAAUAAUUUAAAAAAUACCUUUGUAACAGACGAGUUUUCGUCCGAAACCUUGAUACUUCGAAGGAGAUGAUCUAGUUUAUACACGAAGUGCAUCCAGUUUUUUCCGUAACCGUCUCAACUUUUUUGCACAAGCUAUGUGGGUGAAAUGAUGAUACCAUGCCAAGUUUCAACAUUUUCAGAGUUCAUUUAUAGUGUUUUUCAAUUUCAGUGUCAUUUAGCUCAAAAAAAUCUUUAAAUACAUGAAAAAUAGCAAAUGAAGUUAGAAAGGGUUGAAAUUUUAGGAUGUGGUUUUGAAUGAUGUAUAUUGAAUGCACGAAAUGUACACAAAGUCUAGAGUUGAAAUAAGUAAAAAAACAAAAUGUCUAAAUCUAUGUCCGAAUAGUGCAAAUAAUGUUGUCAUCGAAUGCGGGCUGGAAUUUUCUUCCUAGUCACCCAAGGAAGCAUAUGCACUUUUACGUAUGCGACGGGUGGCCAUUGGAUGCAAACAACCUUGAAGAUCUAAGUAAAGCACUUCUAUAACUACAUGAUCUAGACUCAUUUCUUCAGUAUUCUUCUAAUGCCUCAUCUUAAUUAUGCCGUGCCUUUCAACUUUAUACUCAUCUCAUCACAUAGUCGGGACCAAUUAUCC
rnacentral:lncRNA from 1 species